UACGUAGGGUGCAAGCGUUAAUCGGAAUUACUGGGCGUAAAGCGUGCGCAGGCGGUGAUGUAAGACAGAUGUGAAAUCCCCGGGCUCAACCUGGGAACUGCAUUUGUGACUGCAUGGCUAGAGUUUGUCAGAGGGGGGUGGAAUUCCACGUGUAGCAGUGAAAUGCGUAGAUAUGUGGAGGAACACCGAUGGCGAAGGCAGCCCCCUGGGAUGUGACUGACGCUCAUGUACGAAAGCGUGGGGAGCAAACAGG
rnacentral:rRNA from 1 species